rnacentral:rRNA from 1 species
UACGUAGGCAGCGAGCGUUGUUCGGAGUUACUGGGCGUAAAGAGUGCGUAGGCGGUGCUCUAAGUUUGGUGUGAAAUCUCCCGGCUCAACUGGGAGGGUGCGCCGAAAACUGGAGUGCUCGAGUAUGGGAGAGGUAAGCGGAAUUCCUGGUGUAGCGGUGAAAUGCGUAGAUAUCAGGAGGAACACCGGUGGCGAAGGCGGGUCUCUGGGCCGAAACUGACGCUGAGGAGCGAAAGCGUGGGGGAGCAAACAGG